rfam:Oryza sativa Indica Group cultivar 93-11 Ctg045216, whole genome shotgun sequence.
GGAUGCGAUCAUACCAGCACUAAAGCACCGGAUCCCAUCAGAACUCUGAAGUUAAGCGUGCUUGGGCGAGAGUAGUACUAGGAUGGGUGACCUCCUGGGAAGUCCUCGUGUUGCAUCCC